GCCCGGCUAGCUCUGUCGGUAGAGCACGAGACUCUUAAUCUCGGGGGCGUGGGUUCGAGCCCCACGUAGGGCG
rnacentral:tRNA from 1 species